rnacentral:rRNA from 1 species
GGGUUGUGAGGUUAAGCGACUAAGCGUACACGGUGGAUGCCCUGGCAGUCAGAGGCGAUGAAGGACGUGCUAAUCUGCGAUAAGCGUCGGUGAGGUGAUAUGAACCGUUAUAACCGGCGAUUUCCGAAUGGGGAAACCCAGUGUGUUUCGACACACUAUCAUUAACUGAAUCCAUAGGUUAAUGAGGCGAACCGGGGGAACUGAAACAUCUAAGUACCCCGAGGAAAAGAAAUCAACCGAGAUUCCCCCAGUAGCGGCGAGCGAACGGGGAGCAGCCCAGAGCCUGAAUCAGUGUGUGUGUUAGUGGAAGCGUCUGGAAAGGCGCGCGAUACAGGGUGACAGCCCCGUACACAAAAUGCACAUACUGUGAGCUCGAUGAGUAGGGCGGGACACGUGGUAUCCUGUCUGAAUAUGGGGGGACCAUCCUCCAAGGCUAAAUACUCCUGACUGACCGAUAGUGAACCAGUACCGUGAGGGAAAGGCGAAAAGAACCCCGGCGAGGGGAGUGAAAAAGAACCUGAAACCGUGUACGUACAAGCAGUGGGAGCCUCUUAAUGGGGUGACUGCGUACCUUUUGUAUAAUGGGUCAGCGACUUAUAUUCUGUAGCAAGGUUAACCGAAUAGGGGAGCCGAAGGGAAACCGAGUCUUAACUGGGCGUUAAGUUGCAGGGUAUAGACCCGAAACCCGGUGAUCUAGCCAUGGGCAGGUUGAAGGUUGGGUAACACUAACUGGAGGACCGAACCGACUAAUGUUGAAAAAUUAGCGGAUGACUUGUGGCUGGGGGUGAAAGGCCAAUCAAACCGGGAGAUAGCUGGUUCUCCCCGAAAGCUAUUUAGGUAGCGCCUCGUGAAUUCAUCUCCGGGGGUAGAGCACUGUUUCGGCAAGGGGGUCAUCCCGACUUACCAACCCGAUGCAAACUGCGAAUACCGGAGAAUGUUAUCACGGGAGACACACGGCGGGUGCUAACGUCCGUCGUGAAGAGGGAAACAACCCAGACCGCCAGCUAAGGUCCCAAAGUCAUGGUUAAGUGGGAAACGAUGUGGGAAGGCCCAGACAGCCAGGAUGUUGGCUUAGAAGCAGCCAUCAUUUAAAGAAAGCGUAAUAGCUCACUGGUCGAGUCGGCCUGCGCGGAAGAUGUAACGGGGCUAAACCAUGCACCGAAGCUGCGGCAGCGACGUUUAUGCGUUGUUGGGUAGGGGAGCGUUCUGUAAGCCUGCGAAGGUGUACUGUGAGGUAUGCUGGAGGUAUCAGAAGUGCGAAUGCUGACAUAAGUAACGAUAAAGCGGGUGAAAAGCCCGCUCGCCGGAAGACCAAGGGUUCCUGUCCAACGUUAAUCGGGGCAGGGUGAGUCGACCCCUAAGGCGAGGCCGAAAGGCGUAGUCGAUGGGAAACAGGUUAAUAUUCCUGUACUUGGUGUUACUGCGAAGGGGGGACGGAGAAGGCUAUGUUGGCCGGGCGACGGUUGUCCCGGUUUAAGCGUGUAGGCUGAUUUUCCAGGCAAAUCCGGAAAAUCAAGGCUGAGGCGUGAUGACGAGGCACUACGGUGCUGAAGCAACAAAUGCCCUGCUUCCAGGAAAAGCCUCUAAGCAUCAGGUAACAUCAAAUCGUACCCCAAACCGACACAGGUGGUCAGGUAGAGAAUACCAAGGCGCUUGAGAGAACUCGGGUGAAGGAACUAGGCAAAAUGGUGCCGUAACUUCGGGAGAAGGCACGCUGAUAUGUAGGUGAAGUCCCUUGCGGAUGGAGCUGAAAUCAGUCGAAGAUACCAGCUGGCUGCAACUGUUUAUUAAAAACACAGCACUGUGCAAACACGAAAGUGGACGUAUACGGUGUGACGCCUGCCCGGUGCCGGAAGGUUAAUUGAUGGGGUUAGCGGUAACGCGAAGCUCUUGAUCGAAGCCCCGGUAAACGGCGGCCGUAACUAUAACGGUCCUAAGGUAGCGAAAUUCCUUGUCGGGUAAGUUCCGACCUGCACGAAUGGCGUAAUGAUGGCCAGGCUGUCUCCACCCGAGACUCAGUGAAAUUGAACUCGCUGUGAAGAUGCAGUGUACCCGCGGCAAGACGGAAAGACCCCGUGAACCUUUACUAUAGCUUGACACUGAACAUUGAGCCUUGAUGUGUAGGAUAGGUGGGAGGCUUUGAAGUGUGGACGCCAGUCUGCAUGGAGCCGGCCUUGAAAUACCACCCUUUAAUGUUUGAUGUUCUAACGUUGGCCCCUGAUCGGGGUUGCGGACAGUGUCUGGUGGGUAGUUUGACUGGGGCGGUCUCCUCCUAAAGAGUAACGGAGGAGCACGAAGGUUGGCUAAUCCUGGUCGGACAUCAGGAGGUUAGUGCAAUGGCAUAAGCCAGCUUGACUGCGAGCGUGACGGCGCGAGCAGGUGCGAAAGCAGGUCAUAGUGAUCCGGUGGUUCUGAAUGGAAGGGCCAUCGCUCAACGGAUAAAAGGUACUCCGGGGAUAACAGGCUGAUACCGCCCAAGAGUUCAUAUCGACGGCGGUGUUUGGCACCUCGAUGUCGGCUCAUCACAUCCUGGGGCUGAAGUAGGUCCCAAGGGUAUGGCUGUUCGCCAUUUAAAGUGGUACGCGAGCUGGGUUUAGAACGUCGUGAGACAGUUCGGUCCCUAUCUGCCGUGGGCGCUGGAGAACUGAGGGGGGCUGCUCCUAGUACGAGAGGACCGGAGUGGACGCAUCACUGGUGUUCGGGUUGUCAUGCCAAUGGCACUGCCCGGUAGCUAAAUGCGGAAGAGAUAAGUGCUGAAAGCAUCUAAGCACGAAACUUGCCCCGAGAUGAGUUCUCCCUGACUCUUUAAGGGUCCUGAAGGAACGUUGAAGACGACGACGUUGAUAGGCCGGGUGUGUAAGCGCAGCGAUGCGUUGAGCUAACCGGUACUAAUGAACCGUGAGGCUUAACCUUACAACGCCGAAG